rnacentral:rRNA from 1 species
AGAGCGAACGCUGGCGGCAGGCCUAACACAUGCAAGUCGAGCGCCCCGCAAGGGGAGCGGCAGACGGGAGAGUAACACGUGGGAACGUACCCUUUGGUUCGGAACAACACAGGGAAACUUGUGCUAAUACCGGAUAAGCCCUUACGGGGAAAGAUUUAUUGCCAAAGGAUCGGCCCGCGUCUGAUUAGCUUGUUGGUGAGGUAACGGCUCACCAAGGCUACGAUCAGUAGCUGGUCUGAGAGGAUGAUCAGCCUCACUGGGACUGAGACACGGCCCAGACUCCUACGGGAGGCAGCAGUGGGGAAUUUGCGCAAUGGGGAAACCCUGACGCAGCAACGCCGCGUGGAGGAUGAAGUCCCUUGGGACGUAAACUCCUUUCGAUCGGGACGAUUAUGACGGUACCGGAAGAAGAAGCCCGGCUAACUUCGUGCCAGCAGCCGC